GAGUUUGAUCAUGGCUCAGGAUGAACGCUGGCGGAGUGCCUAACACAUGCAAGUCGAGCGGCAGCGGGAGUAGUUUACUACUUGCCGGCGAGCGGCGGACGGCUGAGUAACGCGUGGGAACAUGCCCCAAAGUGAGGAAUAACUGCCCGAAAGGGUAGCUAAUGCCGCAUAUGAUCUUCGGAUUAAAGGAUUUAUCCGCUUUGGGAGUGGCCUGCGUACGAUUAGAUAGUUGGUGAGGUAAAGGCUCACCAAGUCUACGAUCGUUAACUGGUUUGAGAGGAUGAUCAGUCAGACUGGAACUGAGACACGGUCCAGACUCCUACGGGAGGCAGCAGUGAGGAAUCUUCCACAAUGGGCGAAAGCCUGAUGGAGCAACUCCGCGUGCAGGAUGAAGGCCUUCGGGUUGUAAACUGCUUUUAUGAGUGAAGAAUAUGACGGUAACUCAUGAAUAAGGGUCGGCUAACUACGUGCCAGCAGCCGCGGUAA
rnacentral:rRNA from 1 species